AAAAACAAGGUUAGCCUGCAGCACAGCCGCAGCAGCAGCAGCCACCAAAGCGGGGGCUGAAAGCGAAGAGAACUUAGAUUUGACCUGUGCAAGGACCUCAGAGGAGCUUGGACACAGCCCACUGCAGAGAUGAAAGGAGAAGCUGGACAUAUGCUACACAAUGAAAAGUCAAAGCAGGAGGGACACAUCUGGGGCUCUAUGAGGAGGACAGCUUUCAUCCUGGGUUCUGGACUUCUCUCAUUUGUGGCCUUCUGGAACUCAGUGACAUGGCAUCUUCAGAGAUUUUGGGGUGCUUCUGGCUACUUUUGGCAAGCCCAGUGGGAGAGGCUGCUGACUACAUUUGAAGGGAAGGAGUGGAUCCUCUUCUUUAUAGGUGCCAUCCAAGUGCCUUGUCUCUUCUUCUGGAGCUUCAAUGGGCUUCUAUUGGUGGUUGACAUAACAGGAAAACCUAACUUCAUCUCUCGCUACCGAAUUCAGGUCGGCAAGAAUGAACCUGUGGAUCCUGUGAAACUGCGCCAGUCUAUCCGCACAGUUCUUUUCAACCAGUGCAUGAUAUCUUUCCCCAUGGUGGUCUUCCUCUAUCCCUUCCUCAAAUGGUGGAGAGACCCCUGCCGCCGUGAGCUACCCACCUUCCACUGGUUCCUCCUGGAGCUGGCCAUCUUCACGCUGAUCGAGGAAGUCUUGUUCUACUAUUCACACCGGUGAGCAGGCCCUGCCUGAGGCACAGCUGGCUCCUCAUCCUGUCUAGGGCUCACUGAUCAACAAGGAAACUGAGGCCAGGCUCCUUCACCACCCAACAUUCUACAAGAAAAUCCACAAGAAACACCAUGAGUGGACAGCUCCCAUUGGCGUGAUCUCUCUCUAUGCCCACCCUAUAGAGCAUGCGGUCUCCAACAUGCUACCGGCGAUAGUGGGCCCAUUAGUAAUGGGCUCCCACUUGUCCUCCAUCACCAUGUGGUUUUCCUUGGCCCUCAUUAUCACCACCAUCUCCCACUGCGGCUACCACCUUCCCUUCCUGCCUUCGCCUGAAUUCCACGACUACCACCAUCUCAAGUAAGGACCCUCUCCCCACAAUGGGUCCCUAGGCAACAACCAUCACCCUCCCUCCUUAAGCUUCUGAUAGCAGACACUGGUAUCUCAGUUUACAUGUGAGUGCUAGUUGGGGAAGAGGUCUGAUGGUUGGGAAAAUAACCACACUGGGAUGACCUUACUCUUUUCCUUCUGAAAUUGGGUCCUCCUCCAACUGGGGAUUUUAAACCUUUAUUUGGGCUCUGGGCCCUUUGAAUAAGCUCUGGACAUUCUCUUUAGAAAAGUACAUAUAUGCAUAAAACUCCUGCAGGCAAUCACAAGGAAGUCAUAUACUCUCUGAAAGCCCCAGACUUUUUCAAGUGUAGUCUACAAACCUCCUAUACCAGAAUCACCUGAGAUGCUUGUUUAAAAUAUAGGCUCUUGGAUUCCACUCCAAAUAUGCUGAACUAAGGUAUCUGGGGGAGCAGGGCCUGGAAACCUGCAUUUUAGUUAAGUGUUCCAGGGGAUUCUGAUGCUGGUGCUCUCAUACCUGAAGAAGCCUAGUUCUGCUAGAGAUCCUCAGACUGUGGGCAUCAGAAUCACACAGCAAGCUUUUCAAAGGAAGACUCCAGAUACUGCAAAUUGCAGGUUUGGAGUGGCCCCCAGAAGGUGCAUUGGUAGCAACUCCCCAGCUUAUUCUGAUGCAGAUGGUCAGGAUGAUGGUGACAGGUGUGGGGUAGGAGGGCUGAGAAAUGUGUGAGGCUGGCACAAAUGAAAUAGGAUCUGCACAGAAGCCUCCAGCAUUGGCACUGCAGCGCCAUCCUCUCUCUUCUAGGUUCAACCAGUGCUAUGGGGUGCUGGGUGUGCUGGACCACCUCCAUGGGACUGACACCAUGUUCAAGCAGACCAAGGCCUACGAGAGACAUGUCCUCCUGCUGGGCUUCACCCCGCUCUCUGAGAGCAUCCCAGACUCCCCAAAGAGGAUGGAGUGAGAGAUGGCCUAAGUGUCAUCCUGGCUGUCCCUCAGCCAUGGGAUGCAGACACGGCUUCCUGAUUGCACCUAACAAUUUGCCUCCUUCGGCCACACUCCCUAAUGAUGGCGCCACCAGGGUAGAGGAAAGGUCGGCUUCCCGGAAAAGCAGGGCCAAGGAUGAGGCUUUCUCCAAACUACUGCCCUUGGUAUCCCUCAACGGGAUCAGGAGUUAGCUUAAGAAAAAGGAAAACACAGCUCCCCAGACUGGAGGCUGGUCAGAGGGAGGAGACCCCUGGUCCUCUGCUGUGGAAGGAGAGGGGUUCAGCCCUAGAUAACUCCUUUGUGGCCUGAGCAGGAUGCAGAGAAUGACAAGGCUGAAAGGAGGGGGACUGGAGGCUGCCUGGCUCCAGCGACAGCUCCUUCUGGGACCAGGGGGUGGGAGGGCCAGGUAUCACUUUGCCCCUUCCUGCCCCAAAAGGCUUUCACAUACCUUACUCAGGCCAGAGCCAAGACACCCUGGCAAAUCGUUAUAAGUCUCAAUUCACGACAUACCAGAUGCCAGUCGCCACUUCACCCAACACACACACAAACAUACACACACCAAACACUCUGAGUGAGUGGUAAAGGCCCCAUUUUAACUCUGGCCCACCGCAAACAAAAGGUUUCCCUCUAUGGGGGAGAAAAAAAAAAAAAUCCAGGAGCUCCUCCCUGGAUUAAAACCAACGAGGUGCAGACCAAACUUUAACUUUAGCGUUAUGUGGAAACCAAAAACCAACUGCUGAGAAACUGUGAAAAGCCCUUUUACCCACAAGGGGAGAGGUCAAAGUUGCUGCUCUUUGGGGACACCCGAGACCCCUAAUUACCCUAUCUGAAUGAGGACCAAAGGUUAGAACCCUCUUUCUCCCUGAAGAGCCCGGAAAAACAUGGCCGAGCAAAGGGCAAAAUCCUUUCUCCCCCGAAUGCUUUACCAGUUUCUCAGCAACAUUUAUUCAAAAUGAUUUUUACCAGGAACCUUAUCAAAGGCAAAACCACAGCUGCUUGGGUUAAAGUCCCCAUCCUGGCCUCCUCUCAGCCGCUAGACAUGGCCAGGAACCCUGUGGUUCCCAAGAACAAUUUAAAGAUCACUCUUCGAUUUGAAAGACCACCAUUAUCAUUUUACUAAAUUCUUAUAUAUACUUGUGCCUUUUCCAACUUUCAGUUCUCUUAAGAAAAACAUCCACUGUAGCUUUAUAAAAUACCUUAGUAUCAGAUAGGUCCAAGUCUCCAGGCAGGACUAUCAAAAUGGACUCCUUCUUCCUAUCAGCUCUAGAACCCCAGAGGACUUGCCCAAUAGGCCAGCUGAGCACUUACCAGGCAGCAUCUCCCUGGCCUUCCACAGUCUCGCCUGCCUGUCUCUGGCCUUGGUGGACCUGGCUCCCUCCCUAGGAGGCUUGUGCCCUCAGCUUGAAUACAGCUCCUGGUGCAUCAAAGCUGUAAGUUCUCAGCUGCUGGCCUGCACCCAUCACCUCUUCCUACAAAUAAACAUUUGGAAAAAAGUCCAUCUUCAGUAUGCUUAAAGAGAAGGGUAGGAGAUAAGGAGAAAGAACAGAUAUGGUUUUUUUCCCCUUUAAGGCCUUUAGAUUUUGAGGUACUGUAAGGGGCCUAGGACAAAAGGCUGUCAUUCCCUCUUCCUUUUGGCAGGCAGGUUAUCAGUUCCUGGCAGAAGGGCCCAGCCUAUCCUUUUCUGUAUCAAACAAAAUCCUUGAGGUUGGUAUACAAGUUAAGGCUGAAAAAAGGCCUUAAAUUCCCAGUAAAGAACGUGAAAGCAAGCAUGUAAAAUAAACUGGUCUUCAUG
rnacentral:sRNA from 1 species